UACAGAGGUCCCAAGCGUUGUUCGGAUUCACUGGGCGUAAAGGGUGCGUAGGCGGUCGGGUAAGUCUGGCGUGAAAUCUCCAAGCCUAACUUGGAAACUGCGUUGGAUACUAUCCGGCUCGAGGGAUGGAGGGGAGACUGGAAUACUUGGUGUAGCAGUGAAAUGCGUAGAUAUCAAGUGGAACACCAGUGGCGAAGGCGAGUCUCUGGACAUUUCCUGACGCUGAGGCACGAAAGCCAGGGGAGCAAACGGG
rnacentral:rRNA from 1 species